rnacentral:rRNA from 1 species
UAUACCCUGGUAGUCCACGCUGUAAACGAUGUCGACUUGGAGGUUGUUCCCUUGAGGAGUGGCUUCCGGAGCUAACGCGUUAAGUCGACCGCCUGGGGAGUACGGCCGCAAGGUUAAAACUCAAAUGAAUUGACGGGGGCCCGCACAAGCGGUGGAGCAUGUGGUUUAAUUCGAUGCAACGCGAAGAACCUUACCUACUCUUGACAUCCAGAGAACUUAGCAGAGAUGCUUUGGUGCCUUCGGGAACUCUGAGACAGGUGCUGCAUGGCUGUCGUCAGCUCGUGUUGUGAAAUGUUGGGUUAAGUCCCGCAACGAGCGCAACCCUUAUCCUUUGUUGCCAGCGGUUCGGCCGGGAACUCAAAGGAGACUGCCAGUGAUAAACUGGAGGAAGGUGGGGAUGACGUCAAGUCAUCAUGGCCCUUACGAGUAGGGCUACACACGUGCUACAAUGGCAUAUACAAAGAGAAGCGACCUCGCGAGAGCAAGCGGACCUCAUAAAGUAUGUCGUAGUCCGGAUUGGAGUCUGCAACUCGACUCCAUGAAGUCGGAAUCGCUAGUAAUCGUAGAUCAGAAUGCUACGGUGAAUACGUUCCCGGGCCUUGUACACACCGCCCGUCACACCAUGGGAGUGGGUUGCAAAAGAAGUAGGUAGCUUAACCUUCGUGACGGCGCU